UUUCAUUAACUCGCCGGUCGUACGUUCUCGGCCGUCUUCCUACUCUCUCUCCCGUUUGCCGGUCUCCACUCCAUGUCUUUCACCGUUUCGAGCGGCCGUCCGCAGCGUUGCGCCACGAGGCGCUUCGGCGCGUUUCAUACGAUCAUUUUUCUUAAAUUAUUUCUCCAACCGUAAUUAUUAUUGUUUGUAUUAACAUUGAAUAACUAAUGACUUCUCGCCGCCGUUCAAUUAUCCUGCUGCACGUAAGUAACAAAACAGUUAACAGUUUUUUUUAUUGAUAGUGGGGGGGGGAGAGCGGGGUUAUAAGUAAAAAAACGGGACAGUAAGAAAUUUUAAAUUUAUUUAACUUGCUUGAUAUCUAUUAUAUCUAUUUUUUU